CACCCGCGACCAUACAGGCAAGUCAGGCAUACACCAACAACGCUCGUCGUGCACCUCGCGCCUCAGGUCACCCCACCAAAUUCCUCUUGAUACGCCGAAUUUCUUUUGCUAAUUCUGCUACCUCCUGUCGCUAAGCCACCAUAUUCAGUCUAACCCCUGCUCUGAGCUCACCUGAUUGGCGGCUCCGUUCGGCCUCUGGGCCUGGGUGUACCGACUACCGAGGGCUCUUUCGAAAUGUCAAUUGGGUCGAGUUUGGUGGGCUACGUGAAGCAUGGAUGAAUUUCCCGGCUGGAAGCGGGAGGCGGCAGCAGCAUCCGGGGCCGGAGCACCUGUCGCCGAUGACGCCGCUCCCGCUGGCGCGGUAGGGGUCGGUCUACUCGCUCACGUUCGACGAGUUCCAGAGCUCGCUCGGUGGGGCCACCAAGGACUUCGGAUCCAUGAACAUGGACGAGCUCCUCCGCAACAUCUGGUCGGCGGAGGAGACACACAGCGUCACAGCUGCGGACCAUGCCGCGCGGGCGCCGUACGUCCAGUGCCAGGGCUCGCUCACCCUCCCCUGCACGCUCAGCCAGAAGACCGUCGACGAGGUCUAGCGUGACCUCGUGUGCAACGGUGGAGGACCCUCCGACGAGGCUGUGGCGCCGCCCCACCGGCCCAACGGCAGCCGACGCUCGGGGAGAUCAUGCUGGAGGAGUUCCUCGUCCGCGCCGGCGUGGUGAGGGAGGACAUGAUGGCGGCGGCGCCCGUACCACCAGCGCCGGGUUGCCCACCACCUCAUCUGCAACCGCCAAUGCUGUUUCCACAUGGCAAUGUGUUUGCUCCCUUAGUGCCUCCGCUCCAAUUCGGGAAUGGGUUUGUGUCGGGGGCUCUCAGUCAGCAGCAGGGAGGUGUUCUUGAGGCCCCGGCGGUAUCGCCGCGGCCGGUGACGGCAAGCGGGUUCGGGAAGAUGGAAGGAGACGACUUGUCGCAUCUGUCGCCAUCACCGGUGUCGUACGUUUUUUUGUGCUGGUUUGAGGGGAAGGAAGCCACCAGCUGUGGAGAAGGUGGUUGAGAGGAGGCAACGCCGGAUGAUCAAGAACCGGGAGUUGGCCGCGAGGUCGCGUGGGAGGAAACAGGCGUAUAUGAUGGAGUUGGAAGCUGAGGUGGCAAAACUUAAAGAGUUGAACGAUGAGUUGCAAAAAAACAGGUCGAAAUGCUGGAGAAGCAAAAGAAUGAGCUACUGAUGUCCAGAGAGUUCUGCGUUCAAACUAUCAGUCUAUCAUGCCCAUAUAUUUGACUCAAGCAAUACCUUGUAUGUGAAGUAAAGUUGUAGAGAAAUUGAUAAAUGAUUAAGUCCAGGACGGAUGUGGAUGUGAUUGAUUGUAUUUUCCUACAACUGGGGCUACGUGUGGUAGCAUUUUUAAGCUGGUUAAAUGAUUUC